GUGUGUGUGUGUGUGUGUGUGUGUGUGUGUGUGUGUGUGUGUGUGUGUGUGUGUGUGUGUGUGUGUGUGUUUUUUUUAAAAGAGAUAGUGAUCUUAGACUGUAUGCAAGUCUGAAAAUGCAAGUGUGUGUUUGUGUGUGAAGGGAAACUAUGAGCAGCAGGUAAUCCGUCCACAUGUAAUCCACUGGCAGAGGAAAAAACUUGCUGGGCCUCAUUAAUUUAUAAAGAUAUAGAGAGGUCAGCUUACACACACACUCAGUUCCUCAACAAGCCGGCUAUUUUUCCCUGCACACAAACACAGCUGCCUAAUACCACUUUUUGAUGUCGCUUAGGGUCUUGGUUACAGUCAAUGAACUUCCUUUUCUUUCUUUAAUGAAACGCGAGAAGCAGCGAUUAAUGAAAACCCGAUGAAGGAGUGAUUUGACAGAGGGGUUUGCAGGAUAUUUUCCUCGCAACAAGCGCUUUAUUGAAAGAAAUGGAGAUGCCUCUCAUCAUUUCCAAAUCCAAAAGACAGACGCGCUGAUUCCUCUCUUCCUCCGUCUCGUGGUCUAAGUGGGUCAG